rnacentral:rRNA from 1 species
UACGGAGGGUGCAAGCGUUAUUCGGAAUUACUGGGCGUAAAGCGCGCGCAGGCGGUUUGCUAAGUCAGAUGUGAAAUCCCCGGGCUUAACCUGGGAACUGCGUCUGAAACUGGAAGGCUUGAGUGUGGCAGAGGGGGGUGGAAUUCCACGUGUAGCAGUGAAAUGCGUAGAGAUGUGGAGGAACACCGAUGGCGAAGGCAGCCCCCUGGGCUAACACUGACGCUCAUGCACGAAAGCGUGGGGAGCAAACAGG